UGUGAAACGGCUUGAAAUCACCCGCGAAGCCGUUAGGAUAAGGCAGAGAGAGAAAAACAAACAAACAAAGCGGCUUCCAAUGGCCACUCUGCAAUUCACCUUCACCGACUCAACCACAUUGUUCAGGCCUUCUCUACCUUCCACGCGAACCUUCUCUCGAAACCGAAGCCUCAUUGUCAAAGCCUCUUCUUCUUCUUCUGACGACUUCUCCAAAAGCAGGCGACGCUUCAUCGCCGAAACCGCCGCACUCUCGGUCUCGCUCCCUCAGUUAGCGGCGCGUGCCGAAGACGCGCUUUCGGAGUGGGAGAGAGUAUACCUCCCUAUCGACCCCGGCGUCGUGCUUCUCGACAUCGCUUUUGUCCCCGACGAUCCCAACCACGGUUUUCUUCUCGGGACGAGGCAAACCAUUCUGGAGACGAAAGAUGGAGGAAACACUUGGGCUCCGCGUUCGAUUCCUUCUGCUGAAGACGAAGAUUUCAACUAUCGCUUCAAUUCCAUCAGCUUCAAAGGGAAGGAAGGGUGGAUUGUCGGAAAACCUGCGAUUCUGUUGUACACUUCCGAUGCCGGAGACAGUUGGGAGAGGAUACCUCUCAGUGCUGAACUUCCAGGGGAUAUGGUGUACAUAAAGGCAACCGGUGAGAAGAGUGCGGAGAUGGUGACCGACGAAGGUGCCAUAUAUGUUACUGCAAACAGAGGUUACAACUGGAGGGCUGCUGUGCAGGAAACUGUCUCAGCUACUCUUAACAGAACAGUUUCUAGUGGUAUUAGUGGUGCAAGCUACUACACUGGAACUUUCAAUACUGUCAAUCGCUCUCCAGAUGGAAGGUAUGUUGCAGUCUCAAGUCGGGGCAACUUCUACUUAACCUGGGAGCCUGGUCAGCCAUUCUGGCAGCCACAUAAUAGAGCAGUUGCCAGAAGAAUCCAGAACAUGGGAUGGAGAGCUGAUGGUGGUCUGUGGCUUCUUGUUCGUGGAGGUGGUCUUUAUCUCAGCAAGGGCACAGGGUUAACUGAAGAAUUUGAGGAGGUUCCUGUUCAAAGCCGGGGUUUUGGCAUUCUUGAUGUUGGAUAUCGUUCAACGGAUGAGGCAUGGGCAGCAGGAGGAAGUGGUAUUCUUUUGAGAACUACUAAUGGUGGCAAGUCAUGGAUCCGUGACAAAGCUGCUGACAACAUUGCUGCAAAUUUAUACUCAGUGAAGUUCAUUGAUGAGAAGAAGGGAUUUGUAUUGGGGAAUGAUGGAGUCUUGCUUCGCUACCUUGGAUAGAGUUGUAAUGCAACAUGUUUUGUAAUUGUCACGGGAUUGAGUGUGAGAAGCUGAAAAUGCCAGCAGAGCACUUCCCCGUCUUUCUGGUUUACUUUAUGAGCUGGAGAUAAAAAUAAAAGAGAAUAAGAUAGAAGUUGUAGAAGAAAAGAAAAAUGAGGGAAGAAAAAUAAUGGCUAUUGAUUAAACAAGACAAAUUAUGAAGUAAAACAGAAAUAGUAGCUUCAACAGUCAGGAACUUGUUAUCUGAAGGUCUGUUGCCUCAAAUGCAAUUUUGUAGCAGAUUACAUAUCCAUGCUUAACAUUCAUUACUAUGGAGAGAGCUAUGGGAUCAAAUCGACUCCUUGCUGUUGUGCUAAAAAAAUGUGAGGAAGUAUAUAAACAAACUUCACUAUUGUAAAGAGAGCUAUAUUAUGUCAAUGUAAAAUUGUAAUUGCCACGUUACUAUUAUAUUAAAAUUCAAUUUUAUGCUGCA